UCGAGGAUCAUUCGCAAUGGGGGAAACCCUGACGAUGCGACGCUGCGUGGAAGAUGAAGGCCCUCGGGUUGUAAACUCCUGUCAUGAGGGAAGAGGAGAGUGUCACUAACAUUGACGCGAUUUGACGGUACCUCAAGAGGAAGCCACGGCUAACUACGUGCCAGCAGCCGCGGUAAUACGUAGGUGGCAAGCGUUGUCCGGAUUUAUUGGGCGUAAAGCGAGCGCAGGCGGAUAGGUCAGUGAAAAGUGGAAUUCCGGGGCUCAACCUCGGACGUGCUUUUCAUACUGCCUGUCUUGAGUUCGUGAGAGGAAGGCGGAAUUCAGGGUGUAGCGGUGAAAUGCUUAGAUAUCCUGAGGAACACCGGUGGCGAAAGCGGUCUUCUGGCACGAUACUGACGCUGAGGCUCGAAAGCGUGGGGAGCGAACG
rnacentral:rRNA from 1 species